CACAUUCUUAAAUUCCCUCUGGAUCACUAUUUAACAGCAGCUGGACUCUGAACUCUUGGUAUGCUUGGAGCCCCAGAUAGAACCUGGCUUAUACCAGGAAGGUGUAGACUCCCACCAUCUUCCUUUUGUUGCAUAGACUUACUGGGCAAUCUGCAGAUGUGUGGUUGGUUUCUGGAGCUCAACCCUGACCAUAGAGAAAUAGCAGCUGCUGGAUCUCCCAGUGCUGAUGGCACCAGCUCCUCCUGCCUCCAGCAACAGGAAUGAACUCUGUGACCAUCUGUCCUUAACUGAACUUCUCUGAGCUUCAGUUUUCUUAUCUGUAAAAUGAACCUAUGUGCAUUUAUUCCUGCAGUUAAUGUUUGUUAAGUGCUGCUAUGGGCCAGGCCCUGUGCUAGGCUCUGGGGAUAUUAGACAAGCCUAUUUCCUAUCCUUGGGAGUUCUCAUGCCUCAUUUUACAUAAAAUUAUGCAUGUGAAAGUGCUUUUUAAAUUCUAAUGCUGUUUAAACCUAUAACAACUAUAAAGGGAGGGUUGAACUGAAAAUCUGGAAACAUUGCUUCUGG
rnacentral:lncRNA from 10 species